CCGCUGUCCGGGGCUAGUGCCGCUGCCCCGUGCCCGGUGCCGGUGUCAGUGCCGCGUGUCUGUGCCGGUGCCGGUGCCGGUGCCCGGCGCUGCGCGAGGAGGAGGGCGCGGGGGGGCGGCGCGUCCGCCCGCAGUGCUGUCACUGAGGGCUGCAAAUGAGAUCACAGGCUGGUGGUUGUUGCUGCUGUGUUAUAUUCACCACUGACAUUAGGAGGAGCCACCCGCAGUGACCCUGCCCGGGCUGAAGGAGCUCAGUGCCAGCGCUGGAGCAGGAGCAGCUUUGUCAAAUCAUGAGCUGUAAUCGGCUCCACUUCACGGCUGACAUCACACGCUGCUCGCUGCAGACACGGCUCCUGAUCCCAGCUCCGUGCCCAAACAAACAGCUCCGAC